rnacentral:lncRNA from 1 species
AAGAAUCGUUUGGUCUCCUGCCGUGCCCGGUUCGUAUUCCCUACUCCCUGCCACGAGCCGCCCCGUCCGGGAUCCUCCACCCGUCCAAAGUUGUGAGGGGGCGCCGGGCGUGCUCGCGGAUCGGCGGCCGCGGGCGUGCGGAGGGCUGGACGAGCCCUGGAGCGCCAGGAAUCCCAGUCAGAAGUUCCAGCCUGCCACUGUUCUCUGAUGCCAUGCCAGCACCAACUCAACUGUUUUUUCCUCUCAUCCGUAACUGUGAACUGAGCAGGAUCUAUGGCACUGCAUGUUACUGCCACCACAAACAUCUCUGUUGUUCCUCAUCGUACAUUCCUCAGAGUCGACUGAGAUACACACCUCAUCCAGCAUAUGCUACCUUUUGCAGGCCAAAGGAGAACUGGUGGCAGUACACCCAAGGAAGGAGAUAUGCUUCCACACCACAGAAAUUUUACCUCACACCUCCACAAGUCAAUAGCAUCCUUAAAGCUAAUGAAUACAGUUUCAAAGUGCCAGAAUUUGACGGCAAAAAUGUCAGUUCUAUCCUUGGAUUUGACAGCAAUCAGCUGCCUGCAAAUGCACCCAUUGAGGACCGGAGAAGU